CCGGCGCACGGGUGAGUAACACGUAUGCAACCUGCCUGCCACAGCCGGAUAAUCGGGAGAAAUCCCGCCUAAUACAACAUAAUGCCGGGAGGGGACAUCCCCUGCCGGUCAAAGGGGGCGACCCCGGUCAUGGAUGGGCAUGCGGCGCAUUAGGUAGUUGGUGGGGCAACGGCCCACCAAGCCGACGAUGCGUAGGGGUUCUGAGAGGAAGGUCCCCCACAUUGGAACUGAGACACGGUCCAAACUCCUACGGAAGGCAGCAG
rnacentral:rRNA from 1 species